rnacentral:rRNA from 1 species
CCUACGGGGGGCAGCAGUGGGGAAUAUUGGACAAUGGGGGGAACCCUGAUCCAGCCAUGCCGCGUGUGUGAAGAAGGCCCUCGGGUUGUAAAGCACUUUCAGUGAGGAAGAACGCCUGGUGGUUAAUACCCAUCAGGAAAGACAUCACUCACAGAAGAAGCACCGGCUAACUCCGUGCCAGCAGCCGCGGUAAUACGGAGGGUGCGAGCGUUAAUCGGAAUUACUGGGCGUAAAGCGCGCGUAGGUGGCUUGAUAAGCCGGUUGUGAAAGCCCCGGGCUCAACCUGGGAACGGCAUCCGGAACUGUCAAGCUAGAGUGCAGGAGAGGAAGGUAGAAUUCCCGGUGUAGCGGUGAAAUGCGUAGAGAUCGGGAGGAAUACCAGUGGCGAAGGCGGCCUUCUGGACUGACACUGACACUGUGGUGCGAAAGCGUGGGUAGCAAACAGGAUUAGAUACCCUGGUAGUC